GGAAGAGAAGGGCCCCACUCCCGGCAACCCCCGCGCCGCGGUGAGGGCGGCCCCUGCCCCGGCCCGUCCUGCUGAGGGCACCGAGCGGGCGGGCCAUGGUGGCAAAGGAAUACCUAUUUUAUACAGGCAUACGGCCCAUUCUGCUCUGCAUAAGGCUAGCUUUUGGAGGGCGGCUUCCCUCAGUGGGAAACCACGCAAGUCCUGCGUUGUUUCCUCAUUCAGCUUUCCCUGUGUUUAACCAUGUUUCUACCCAGGACACUGGAAUAAGGAAGGUUUAAAGGGCUUUAUUUAGCUCUGGUGGAGCUGAAACUCAGUAUCCACUGCACAACUAACAGGGCGCUACACUCUGCCACAUGCAUGGUGCAUUUUGUCUUCAUCUACUGUUUUCAUUGGCAGGGACAAAAAAAUGAUAGCCUUUUCUGGCCUUUCCCAAUACCCAGAAAACAGGGUCGACUGGUGUCCGAUACCUGCGCUGAGCUCUGUGUGUUUCCCCCUGUGUGACAGCAGAAGGUCCUCUAGAAGGAACGCAUGUACUGUGUGAGCCUCACUUUAAAUACUCAAAGAAUUAAUUGAAGAACAUGAUGGAAGGAAGGGGAGAGUUUGCUGAAGUAAAAGAAGCCUCUAUCCUCCCCAUGCUAAUUGUUGACAUGGAAAACAAGGAAAAUGGCUCUCUGGAUGUCAAAAAUUCAGUAGAGAACGGGAGACCUCCAGAUCCUGCUGACUGGGCUGUUACUGAUGUUGUGAAUUAUUUCAGAACAGCUGGAUUUGAAGAACAAGCCAGUGCUUUUCAAGAACAGGAAAUUGAUGGCAAAUCAUUACUGUUGAUGACAAGAAAUGAUGUACUGACUGGACUUUCAUUAAAACUGGGGCCUGCGCUGAAAAUCUAUGAAUAUCACGUAAAACCUCUACAGACACAACAUCUAAAGAACAACUCUUUGUAGUGAAUUGUCUCAUUGGGGUCAUGUUGUACCUCAAAGGAAAAAUAAGCAAUUUGGUUUCAUGUGAUGGAACUUUGUAAAGAGGGAAUAUAUCUAUUAAGAGUUUAAACCAAAUUACCAUAUAUAUCCUAUUGGAUAGAGUUGGCAAUAUACUAUAUACUGAGUCUGAACUGAGAGAGGUGGUGUGUAUUUUUUACAUAGUACAUAAUGAUUUUCUCUUUUAGGAAGUGUCAGUCAGCAUGUUGAGGUAGCUACAUCACUGUAUCCAGAACAAAAGGGAGAAAUAUUUACUGAGAAGUAGGGGAAGUUGCCAAUUUUUUUUCUCACCAUUUCGGCACUGCUCAGCUUCACAAAAGCGGAUCCCAUCAGGAACACAUAUGAAUGAGUGGAUGUGAGGAACACCAUUCUGCAAUUUAGAGCAGACAUGUAAGUAAAAGUGCCAUAAAUAUUAUCUUAACUGGAAAACAGGAGCUAAGAGAGCGAGGAAUGGCUACAGCAAAAACAAACAGAAUGUAUUGGUAUUUUAGAUACCUCGUGCAGACGUUGCCAUGGUACUUCUUGAACGUAGCUUUUGACGUACACCACUUGGCAAAAUGUUGUCAUGAAGUGAUUGCAGAUAUCUAUAGCAAAUUGUUCUAAACUCGGGAUCUAAGAGAGCAAACAGCAUUAUUAGAAAGAAGCAAUUACCUCAUGUACAAAACUAGAUUUUUCUGGUUGCUGUAAAUAUUUGAGAGGAAUCAGUGUAGUUAAAAACACAGAUUUCUCUUAUUCCUGGCUUGGUGCACUGUGCCCAGUCAUUUGACCAGCUUUCAGCACAGGCUGCAAAUAGCAGCUCCAGUUGCAUCAAAACCCUCCUGUUCUGUGGUACAGUGAGCUGCAAUCCUUGGACUGAAAUUAACUGCUAGCCUUACGCUUUGAGGAUAUAAUGCUGAAAUAAUUAUUUCAGCAUAGUGAACUAAUUAUUCUGAUUAAGUUUUACGUGGUAGAGAUGGGGUUUCAUUACAGAGACAGACAAUUAGUGCUACAGAUUGUCAUUAUGAUAGAUGCAAUUGGUGAAGUAAGAGCACAUUAGAAGAAUUAAGAGGAGUCUCACAUGCUUUGAGACCUGUUUAAAAAUGCUAUAUAGGAAUAAUGAAGUAUUAUAUGCUAAAAAUUUUAAAAAAAAAGAUGGAUCUUAUAUGAUAAAAUUACAAAAAUAAUGUUAAUUGUGAGGAAAAAAGGAGUCUGCAGCGGAGGAGGAGAACUUGUCUCUCAUAUCGCUGAAGACGACUUCAGUGCUGAUCUGACAUGCCAAUUAAAAUUAAAAGUAUAAUGAACACUUCCAAAUGAAGUCAUAAGAAACAGCAAGGCUAGUUAAAAAAUAAAAAAAUACCCCAUUUUUUUUGGCCAACACAAGGACAAUAUUCUUUAUGGUGUCUGUAGGUAUCACAAGAGAGUUGUUUCCUUCCAGGUACUCCUGAGGAGAAGUCAGACGGAGAUGUGUGCACACUUCCACUUCUUUAACAAAAUGCUUCUUCCCCUCUCUAUGCAGGCGAAGGAACUUAAUUGUGUUUUUGCCAUAUUCACAGUUGAGGACUUCUACAUCCUUGAUCUGCAGAGAAAAUACACGGCAGUUGUAAAGGAACUCAGUAGAAGCCUGAGUUAUGCUCAGUCAAUGAAACAUAAACAAUGU